rnacentral:snoRNA from 1 species
AACCUAUGAUGAAAAGAUUCUGCCAAAUGAAUUCAGUUGAUUAUAAUCCUUUACCGUUCCAUUUUUGUCUGAGGUU